GCAGGGUGGUGCUUGCGCGAACCUGCUUUUAAUCAAAUCCAGUCUUGCCAUCCGAAGAGCAGACAGCCACGGGGAACAGGAGUCUCCCUACCUGGCCACGGGGCACACUCGUUUUGUCUCCUCUGGGCCACUGGCAGAUGGAGGCCCCGGCAGCCCCACGGUGUUCAACUCGUCAGCGUGAAAGGAGGCCCCUGCAUGCUACCCUGCUACAUCCUUUGUCUCCUCUCAUGGCCUGGUGCGGAGUCAAGAGGGACCCCAUGAAAGUCUGUGGGCAGUCUAUGACUUAGGCAGAUGCUGGAUCAGUAUAAAGUGCUCCUUGCAGAACUGAAGGGGUAUUAUGAGAAUAUAAGUCACUCUGAGCUAUCCCCACAAAAGGUAGGAAGGAUGAGAUGUGAUUAUUUGAGCUAUUCUCUUUUUAAACAAGCAAUUUCAUUUAGAAGUUGGAAUUUGUUAAUUUUGUUUAAAGCACUUUGAAAGCACUUAAUUUUUGAAAUCUUAUUUUCAUUUGUUUAAAAAACCAAUAGUUCAUUUUCUCUCUUAAUCAUUUGUUAAUAAACCGAUCAUUUGAAGCUCAAGCUGUCAGACAGUCUCUUAAGCACCAUUCAACAGCUGUUAAAUGGGAUAAUCACCUGUUUAUCCUCAUGCCACUAAUUCAGAUGCUAAUUGCACUCUAGAUUCUGCCUUAUUCUCUCACUCAAGCCAACCAGGUGCGCAGCACUGUGAAAGGAUGCUACUGCAAACAAGGGCCUGUCUGUUCACUUCUAGAGACACAGAUGAACCAAGCC